AUGGUGGCCUCUCUAGAUAAUGUUAGAGGCUUGACUUUGGCCAUGUCAUCCAGUGCAUUCAUCGGUUCAAGCUUUGUAAUCAAGAAAAUUGGGCUGAAGAAGGCUGGGGAUUCUGGGGCAAGAGCAAGAGCAGGUUCUGGAGGUCAUUCAUACUUGUAUGAACCAUUAUGGUGGCUGGGAAUGGUCACUAUGAUUCUGGGCGAGAUAGCAAACUUUGCAGCAUACGCAUUUGCCCCUGCCAUACUUGUUACUCCUCUAGGAGCUCUGAGCAUCAUAUUUAGUGCAGUGCUCGCACACUUCAUCCUGAAAGAGAGAUUGCAUAUGUUUGGUGUUGUUGGUUGCAUCUUGUGUGUUGUUGGGUCUGUUGGUAUAGUUUUGCAUGCCCCAAAGGAGAGGGAGAUUAAUUCAGUGGGGGAAAUAUGGCAUUUUGCAACUCAGCCAGGUUUCAUUGUUUAUUCAUGUGUGGCUGUGGUUGGUGCUCUUUUUUUGAUUUUCUGGGCUGUCAAACGCUCUGGUCAUAGGAAGAUGCUCGUCUAUAUUGCAAUCUGUUCACUAAUGGGAUCACUCACGGUUAUCAGCGUAAAAGCAGUUGCCAUUGCCUUGAAGCUGUCAUUUAGUGAAUCAAACCAAUUCAUCUACGUCCAGACGUGGUUCUUCAUAUUUGUUGUCAUUAUUUGCUGCUUGGUGCAGUUGAACUAUUUAAACAAGGCUCUGGACUCUUUCAAUACGGCUGUGGUCUCUCCGGUAUACUACGUGAUGUUCACCAUUCUUACGAUUCUCGCUAACAUGAUUAUGUACAAGGAUUGGGUUUCACAGAGUGCAACACAGAUAGCUACUCAACUAUGUGGGUUCGUGACUAUUGUUGCAGGGACUUUUCUACUUCACAAGACUAACACCAGCAGCACAGAUAGACAUGCGGAGAGUGCACCAACACCUCCACCUCCACCGCCGCCGCCUGAUCAAAUUUGUGUGCAGGGAUGA
rnacentral:rRNA from 1 species